rnacentral:rRNA from 1 species
AGCUCCAAUAGCGUAUAUUAAAGUUGUUGCGGUUAAAAAGCUCGUAGUUGGAUUUCUGUUGAGGUCGGGCGGUGUACGCUUCGCGUAUUAUUUGCUUCGGUCUCGGCAUCCUCUUGGGGAACGCUCGGGACUUUAUUGGACCGCCGGAAUUCAAGACUUUUACUUUGAGGAAAUUAGAGUGUUCACGGCAGGCAAGUGCUUUGAAUACAUUAGCAUGGAAUAAUAAUAUAGGACCUUCGUUCUAUUUUGUUGGUUUCUAGAACUUAGGUAAUGAUUAACAGGGACAAUUGGGGGCAUUCGUAUUAACGCGUCAGAGGUGGAAUUCUUGGAUUGCGUUACGACGAACUACUGCGAAAGCAUUUGCCAAAGAUGUUU